rnacentral:lncRNA from 1 species
UCGUCAAUGAGAAUAGGAUAAGAAGAUCUGCAGCACAAGUGAAAGCAAGGAGUGCAUUGUAAAUAUUAAAUAGUAGAAGAACCCUUAUGUGUAAAGUUCAUACGGUGCAAGAGGUCGAAGUAAUGAUGCAAAAUAUUACGAACCAGUGCAGCAUAAAAAUAAUAUAUAAUGAAAAAAUUAUGUAAUUGUGACGCCCCAGCUUCCCAGGGGGUCACCCAUCCUAGGACUACUCCCAUCCUAGCACGCUUAACUCUCUUAACCUCUUGGACCUUGCCACCACCCAAAAUGCUUAAGCCGGGUUAAGAGUUUAGCCCUAUUAUAUCUCAUAUAUAGGACUAUCUGGGGUCUCACAAUCUCCCCUCCUUUAAGCCCUGACGUCCUCGUUAGGCUCAGACUCACAAGUACCAGGCGAUGUGAGACUCAUCUCGCUAGCCCGUCAUCCAGACCCUGGCUCAGCCGAGACUCAUCUCACACUUCCGGCUGGUAAUUGGCUCUGAUACCAUUAUAUCUGUCACGCCCCAAUCCCCGCCAAUUUGGUCGGGUUCGGGUCACGUCAACAGACGCCGAACGGACAGAGCCUCCCCUGCCCGCCCAAGGCUCUAACAACAAGUAUAAAGUGGCAAUAAACGAGAGAAUUGCAUAUAUAAUACAAGGCUUGCGUGAGGGCAAGCAACAACGGAAGCGAAAGCUCUAAGCUAAAUAUACAUCACACAUGAUAUUUGAUUUCAUUUAAACCAAAUUCAAGUAAACAAGGCUAUUACAUUCCAUUCAACCAUCAUAUCUUUCACAUUUAGUCAUCCUCCAAAUACAUGAUUAUUUACACUUUUCAUACCUAAAUCAACAGAAUAAAGUUGAUACAUGUAUAACAAAAGGGAAUGACUACAAAAUGCAUAAAGUCCCGGUGGCCGCUACCUACUGCGCCAAACCCUUGCCUCGGUCCUCCGCCGCCCCGCUCGUACUAGGACCUGUAGGGUUAGUGGUGUGAGAACUACAACGAAGUUCCCAGUGGGCUCGGCAUCCGACCUCGCCGACUUACCCACUAGGUCCAUCCAGGCAUAAGUAUUUCAAAGGAAGAAAAGUAACCAUUACUAAUGCAACUAAUACUAUGCUUGCAAGAAAGAAGUCAGUAGAUAUACAAUUUCAAGGCGGUAAUGGAAAUGCAUGCAUGCUUCAAUCAUAAUCAAGCUUUGGCUCUUACCCAAUCUUACCGGUUAACUCUGUUAACCCCAAUAACUCACAACCCAAAAUUCCUUAAUAACGGGGGACUCGAACCUCCCUAGGGACCGUCAACUGAUGGGACUUUACCACGCCCAGUGGUGACCAACUCCGGAGCGCACCGCUCGAGGGGGAGCGACCUCCCUCAAGCCAAGACGAAAUGUGAGAAUCGAUCUAAUCCUCAACUUGAGG